rnacentral:rRNA from 1 species
GAUCCUGGCUCAGGAUGAACGCUGGCGGCGCGCCUAACACAUGCAAGUCGAACGGCACCCCUCUCCGGAGGGAAGCGAGUGGCGAACGGCUGAGUAACACGUGGAGAACCUGCCCCCCUCCCCCCGGGAUAGCCGCCCGAAAGGACGGGUAAUACCGGAUACCCCGGGGUGCCGCAUGGCACCCCGGCUAAAGCCCCGACGGGAGGGGAUGGCUCCGCGGCCCAUCAGGUAGACGGCGGGGUGACGGCCCACCGUGCCGACAACGGGUAGCCGGGUUGAGAG